rnacentral:rRNA from 1 species
UGAGGAAUAUUGGUCAAUGGACGCAAGUCUGAACCAGCCAAGUAGCGUGCAGGAUGACGGCCCUAUGGGUUGUAAACUGCUUUUAUGUGGGAAUAAAUUGGCGCACGUGUGCGCCAUUGCAUGUACCUCAUGAAUAAGGACCGGCUAAUUCCGUGCCAGCAGCCGCGGUAAUACGGAAGGUCCGGGCGUUAUCCGGAUUUAUUGGGUUUAAAGGGAGUGUAGGCGGUCUGUUAAGCGUGUUGUGAAAUUUAGGUGCUCAACAUUUAACUUGCAGCGCGAACUGUCAGACUUGAGUACACGCAGCGCAGGCGGAAUUCAUGGUGUAGCGGUGGAAUGCUUAGAUAUCAUGAGGAACUCCGAUCGCGAAGGCAGCCUGCGGGAGUGUGACUGACGCUUAAGCUCGAAGGUGCGGGUAUCGAACAGGAUUAGAUACCCUGGUAGUCCGCACUGUAAACGAUGGAUGCCCGCUGUUGGUACCUGGUAUCAGCGGCUAAGCGAAAGCAUUAAGCAUCCCACCUGGGGAGUACGCCGGCAACGGUG